rnacentral:rRNA from 1 species
GAUGAACGCUGGCGGCGUGCCUAAUACAUGCAAGUCGAGCGAACAGACGAGGAGCUUGCUCCUCUGACGUUAGCGGCGGACGGGUGAGUAACACGUGGGUAACCUACCUAUAAGACUGGGAUAACUUCGGGAAACCGGAGCUAAUACCGGAUAAUAUAUUGAACCGCAUGGUUCAAUAGUGAAAGACGGUUUUGCUGUCACUUAUAGAUGGAUCCGCGCCGCAUUAGCUAGUUGGUAAGGUAACGGCUUACCAAGGCAACGAUGCGUAGCCGACCUGAGAGGGUGAUCGGCCACACUGGAACUGAGACACGGUCCAGACUCCUACGGGAGGCAGCAGUAGGGAAUCUUCCGCAAUGGGCGAAAGCCUGACGGAGCAACGCCGCGUGAGUGAUGAAGGUCUUCGGAUCGUAAAACUCUGUUAUUAGGGAAGAACAAAUGUGUAAGUAACUAUGCACGUCUUGACGGUACCUAAUCAGAAAGCCACGGCUAACUACGU